rnacentral:rRNA from 1 species
UACGGGGGUGCAAGCGUUGUUCGGAAUUACUGGGCGUAAAGGGCUCGUAGGCGGCCAACUAAGUCGGAUGUGAAAUCCCCAGGCUUAACCUGGGAACUGCAUCCGAUACUGGAUGGCUUGAAUCCGGGAGAGGGAUGCAGAAUUCCAGGUGUAGCGGUGAAAUGCGUAGAUAUCUGGAGGAAUACCGGUGGCGAAGGCGGCAUCCUGGACCGGCAUUGACGCUGAUGAGCGAAAGCUAGGGGAGCAAACGGG